CUGAGAAUCGGACCGUCGGUCUACUGAACAAUUGCAGCCGCACGGUAGAAGAUCUUCCCUUUAUCGA
rnacentral:pre_miRNA from 1 species